AUAGAGAGAGAGAAAAAACAAUCAAAGUGAAAAUAAGAAUUGGAGGAGAUGGAGACAUUUCGGUAGUUUUCAUUAUAUAUAGUUUAAUAGGAAAUAAUAUGUCGUAACUACAGGGUGAUGAUGCUGUUAACAACAAUGAUGCUAUAUGAUUGUGACACGUAUCACACAAUUAAAACACUUUUCUUAGAUUGUUGUCGAUUAACACUCUUCACCGCGAAUCAUUUACGGUGGGCCAAUAAGAUGAAUAGGACAUUAAAAUGGCAUA
rnacentral:lncRNA from 1 species